UACGUAUGGUGCGAACGUUGUUCGGAAUCACUGGGCAUAAAGAGCACGUAGGCGGUUGAGCAAGUCCAUUGUGAAAUCCCCCGGCUUAACCGGGGAACUGCAGUGGAUACUACUCGACUUGAGUGCAGGAGGGGAGAGUGGAAUUCCAGGUGGAGCGGUGAAAUGCGUAGAUAUCUGGAGGAACGCCGGCGGCGGAAAGCGACUCU
rnacentral:rRNA from 1 species